rnacentral:tRNA from 1 species
GGUUCUGUGGUGUAGUGGUUAUCACGUCAGUUUUACACACUGAAGGUCAUGGGUUCAACCCCCGUCAGGACCU